rnacentral:rRNA from 1 species
GACGAACGCUGGCGGCGUGCUUAACACAUGCAAGUCGAACGCGCCUGUCCUCUGGGUUUCUGGGGGUGGGUGAGUGGCGAACGGGUGAGUAACACGUGAGUAACCUGCCCCCUUCUUCGGGAUAACGGUCUGAAAGGGCUGCUAAUACCGGGUAUUCACUGGUCUCCACAUGGGGUCUGGUGGAAAGGUUUUUUUCUGGUGGGGGAUGGGCUCGCGGCCUAUCAGCUUGUUGGUGGGGUGAUGGCCCACCAAGGCUUUGACGGGUAGCCGGCCUGAGAGGGUGACCGGUCACAUUGGGACUGAGAUACGGCCCAGACUCCUACGGGAGGCAGCAGUGGGGAAUAUUGCACAAUGGGCGCAAACCUGAUGCAGCGACGCCGCGUGAGGGAUGGAGGCCUUCGGGUUGUGAACCUCUUUCGCCCGUGGUCAAGCCGCGACGUGGGUCGUGGUGAGGGUAGUGGGUAAAGAAGCGCCGGCUAACUACGUG